rnacentral:rRNA from 1 species
AUUGAACGCUGGCGGCAGGCCUAACACAUGCAAGUCGAGCGGAUGAACGGAGCUUGCUUCUGGUUUCAGCGUCGCACGGGUGUGUAUUGCCCAGGAAUCUCCCUCGUAGUGGUGUAUAAUGUCCGCAAACGGGCGCUAAUACUGCAUACUUCCUGAGGGAGCAGGUGGGGGACCUUCGGACCUCACGCUCUCUUGUGAGUCUAGGCGGGAGUUGCUAGUUGGUGGGGUAAAGGCCUACUCAGCCGACGAUCCGUAACUGGUCUGCGAGGAUGAUCAGUCACACUGGAACUGAGACACGGUCCAGAGUCCUACGGGAGGGAGCAGUGGGGAAUAUGGGACAAUGGGCGGAAGCCUGAUACAGUGAUGCCGCGUGUGAGAAGAAGGCCUUCGGAGUGUAAAGAAGGUUAAGUGGGUGGGAAGCGCAGUAAGUUAAGACGUAGCUGUUGUGACGGUACCAACAGAAGAAGCACCGGCUAACUUCGUG